rnacentral:misc_RNA from 1 species
GAUGAAGAACGUAGCGAAAUGCGAUAAGUAAUGUGAAUUGCAGAAUUCAGUGAAUCAUCGAAUCUUUGAACGCACAUUGCGCCCCUUGGUAUUCCGGGGGGCAUGCCUGUUCGAGCGUCAUUAUAACCCCUCAAGCUCAGCUUGGUGUUGGGGCCUGCCAACUGGCAGCCCUUAAAAUCAGUGGCGGCGCCAUCUGGCUCUAAGCGUAGUAAUUUCUCUCGCUAUAGGGUCCCGGUGGAUGCUGGCCAACAACCCCCAAUUUUCUAUGGUUGACCUCGGAUCAGGUAGGGAUACCCGCUGAACUUAAGCAUAUCAUAAGCGGAGGA